GACAGAGGAUGCAAGCGUUAUCCGGAAUGAUUGGGCGUAAAGCGUCUGUAGGUGGCUUUUUAAGUCUGCCGUCAAAUCCCAGGGCUUAACCCUGGACAGGCGGUGGAAACUACCAAGCUGGAGUACGGUAGGGGCAGGGGGAAUUUCCGGUGGAGCGGUGAAAUGCAUAGAGAUCGGAAAGAACACCAACGGCGAAAGCACUCUGCUGGGCCGACACUGACACUGAGAGACGAAAGCUAGGGGAGCGAAUGGG
rnacentral:rRNA from 1 species